rnacentral:rRNA from 1 species
UGAGGGUCAUAAAGGGGUUUGUUUUUAUUGUUAACUUUUUUAUUAGUGAAGUUAGGUUAUUUCACUAGCCUCCCCAGCUAAAUCCUGUUUAUUUUAUUUUUAAUAAAUAUGGAUUGAAGAUUCAAGGGGUCUUCUCGUCCUUCUAUGAAAUUUCUUCUUUUUGAAAGAAAAAUUAAUUUAAAUUUUUGCAAAUUGAGACAACAUUAAGCUCAUUGACCCCAUCAUACCAUUUUACAAUUAAUAAACUAAUUAUUAUGCUACCUUUGCAA